CGAAGGGUGCAAGCGUUAAUCGGAGUUACUGGGGCGUAAAGCGCGCGUAGGUGGUUCGUUAAGUUGGAUGUGAAAGCCCCGGGCGUCAACCUGGGAACGUGCAUCCAAAACUAGGCGAGCUAGAGUACGGUAGAGGGUGGUGGAAUUUCCUGUGUAGCGGUGAAAUGCGUAGAUAUAGGAAGGAACACCAGUGGCGAAGGCGACCACCUGGACUGAUACUGACACUGAGGCGCGAAAAGCGUGGGGAGCAAACAGGAUU
rnacentral:rRNA from 1 species